AACGAACGCUGGCGGCAGGCUUAACACAUGCAAGUCGAGCGCCCCGCAAGGGGAGCGGCAGACGGGUGAGUAACGCGUGGAAAUCUACCCAUCUCUACGGAAUAACGCAUGGAAACGUGUGCUAAUACCGUAUACGUCCUUCGGGAGAAAGAUUUAUCGGAGAUGGAUGAGACCGCGUUGGAUUAGCUAGUUGGUGGGGUAAAGGCCUACCAAGGCGACGAUCCAUAGCUGGUCUGAGAGGAUGAUCAGCCACACUGGGACUGAGACACGGCCCAGACUCCUACGGGAGGCAGCAGUGGGGAAUAUUGGACAAUGGGCGCAAGCCUGAUCCAGCCAUGCCGCGUGAGUGAUGAAGGCCCUAGGGUUGUAAAGCUCUUUCACCGGUGAAGAUAAUGACGGUAACCGGAGAAGAAGCCCCGGCUAACUUCGUGCCAGCCGCCGCAGUAAAAC
rnacentral:rRNA from 1 species